rnacentral:snRNA from 7 species
GCAGUUCUAAGCUUGGGGUUGUGCGAUUGCUUGAUGAAUGUGUGGUGAGAACAGCACUGCUAAGGACUGAGCAACACAUGCAGCAUGUGCAGUGCAAAAAAUUUUUGAAGCC